GACUGCCGGUGACAAACCGGAGGAAGGUGGGGAUGACGUCAAGUCCUCAUCGGCCCUUAUAGGGUGGGGCUACACACGUCAUACAAUGGCUGGUAACGAAAGGGUUGCCCAACCCGCGAGGGGGAGCCAAUCCCAUAAAGCCAGUCGUAGUCCGGAUCGCAGUCUGCAACUCGACUGCGUGAAGUCGGAAUCGCUAGUAAUCGUGGAUCAGCAUGUCACGGUGAAUACGUUCCCGGGUCUU
rnacentral:rRNA from 1 species